AGCUGUGUAGGGGUAAAAUCCGUAGAGAUAACUAGGAAUACCAAAAAGCGAAGGCAAUUUUCUGGAACAGUACUGACGCUCAGAUGCGAAAGCGUGGGUAGCAAACANNANUAGAUACCCUCGUAGUCCACGCCCCUAAACGAUGAAUGUUAGUCGUCGGGAGGCUCGUCCUUUCGGUGAUGCAGUUAACACAUUAAACAUUCCGCCUGGGGAGUACGGUCGCAAGAUUAAAACUCAAAGGAAUAGACGGGGACCCGCACAAGUGGUGGAGCAUGUGGUUUAAUUCGAAGAUACGCGAAGAACCUUACCUAGCCUUGACAUUGAUAGAAUCUGAUAGAAAUAUCGGAGUGCCAGUUUACUGGAGCUUGAAAACAGGUGCUGCACGGCUGUCGUCAGCUCGUGUCGUGAGAUGUUGGGUUAAGUCCCGCAACGAGCGCAACCCUCGUCCUUAGUUACUAACGGUUCGGCCGAGGACUCUAAGGAGACUGCCUUCGUAAGGAGGAGGAAGGUGAGGACGACGUCAAGUCAUCAUGGCCCUUACGGCUAGGGCGACACACGUGCUACAAUGGAUAGGACAAUGAGACGCAAUACCGCGAGGUGGAGCAAAUCUAUAAACCUAUUCUCAGUUCGGAUUGUAGUCUGCAACUCGACUACAUGAAGCUGGAAUCACUAGUAAUCGUAGAUCAGCCAUGCUACGGUGAAUACGUUCCCGGGUCUUGUACUCACCGCCCGUCACACCAUGGGAGUUGAUUUCACCCGAAGCGGGGAAGCUAAACUGGCUACCCUCCACGGUGGAAUCAGCGACUGGGGUGAAGUCGUAACAAGGUAACC
rnacentral:rRNA from 1 species